rnacentral:pre_miRNA from 1 species
UGGGGCAUGAACCUGGCAUACAAUGUAGAAUUCUGUGUUUGUUAAGCAACAGCUACAUUGUCUGCUGGGUUUCAAGCUGCCUGG